rnacentral:rRNA from 1 species
GACGAACGCUGGCGGCGUGCUUAACACAUGCAAGUCGAACGGAAAGGCCCUGCUUUUGUGGGGUGCUCGAGUGGCGAACGGGUGAGUAACACGUGAGUAACCUGCCCUUGACUUUGGGAUAACUUCAGGAAACUGGGGCUAAUACCGGAUAGGAGCUCCUGCUGCAUGGUGGGGGUUGGAAAGUUUCGGCGGUUGGGGAUGGACUCGCGGCUUAUCAGCUUGUUGGUGGGGUAGUGGCUUACCAAGGCUUUGACGGGUAGCCGGCCUGAGAGGGUGACCGGCAGCGUGGGGGAUGAGGAGCGGGCCUGACCGGGAGAGGAGAAAGGAGGGGGGAUGAUGGAAGGAGGGACGGAUGCCGGAGGCAGCAGCGAGGAGGGCGGGAUGAUGGCCGUCGGGGUGUAGACGGUGGGCUCCUGGGACGAAGCGGGAUGGACGGUAGUGGAAAAAGAAGCCCGGUCUAACGACGUGCCAGCCGGAGCGGUAUAAGAGGGACGCAACACGUCAGAAC